AUGAACGAUCGGUGGCGUCGGGUGGACUGCGGCGUUGGGGUGAGGAACGCCCAGAACGGAGCUCCGCCGGCCACCCGGCCACGGGCUCGAAACCGGGAGGCUCCGAGGUCGCGUGCCCGGCCAGAACGGAGCUCCACCGGACACCCAGCCACGAGUUCAGAAUCGGGAGGCUCCGGGGUCGCGCGCCCAGCGAGAACAGAUCUCCGCCGGCCACCCAGCCAUGGGGUCGAAAGCAGGAACCGGGCCGGCCGCUCCACUCGCUCAGGAAAGGAGGGGAGGAGGAGGAGAAGGAGGAGGAGGAGGGGGAGGGGAGGGGGCGUACGAGCAUGA
rnacentral:rRNA from 1 species